rnacentral:lncRNA from 1 species
AUUUCACUCAAGCUACAGCCAAUAGUGCUCAUUCUUUUGAAACUCUGUGUAUUAAUGGCUUGGUUUUUUCUCUGUUUUUUUUUCAGGAGUUUCAUAAUCAGCUUACAAAGCUACUGAAAGGAAAGAUUCUUUAAGUGCUAUUAAUGAAUUUCUCUAGAUUGUAGUAUUGUACUGCCGCCAGGAGACUGGGAAGACAAGCUCUUCUCCCCUUAAGAACUUAAAGCAAAAAGUGAAGCAAUUCGACGAAGACAAAUCCGAGCCAAAGUAAAGCAGGAAACACAAAAAGCUUUAGCCUCACCAGGAGAUGGAGGAAAAAAACCACCAAUUGACCCAUUGCAACGAAACUAAGAGGCCUUUGGUGGAUUGUUCAACGAUAUGAAAAAAGAUUUCCUUUCUAUAUGCCUCCGACUUCAAAGACGGUCUGAAUUUUCAUGUUUAGCUGCUGCAAUUUUCAUGUACUUUGCUGCUGCCUGUUCUGGUGCUAUAACUUUUGGUGGUCUUUUAGCUGACAAAACAAGCAAUCUCAUGGGAAUAUCUGAAACCUUGGUAUCCACUUGCCAUUUAUGGGCCGUCAUAUUCGCUCUUUUGCUGGCCAGCCACUGGUUAUCAUCGGCACAACAGGCCAUUAUUGUUAUUUGAUGAGAGCCUUUUUAGUGUAGUUUAGAAUAUCAAAAUAUCAGUCAUUAUUAUCGUAACCAGAAUGAAUAAUUCAAAAUAUUUUCCAACAAAAUUCAAUCAGAAAUAGCUGAAAAAUUCAAAUGCUUAGUCCUUAUCAUAGAACAUUCAUAUUUGAUUUAAUGCAUUAUGAGUGAUCCCAGUCAAACCCUAAACAUUUAUCCUGACUUGUUUUUUAUACAAAAAAAACCAAAGUCAAAAUGUAUUCAAAUUGGUGCACUGUGCUGUAAUAGGGUGUGCACAGGCCUGAAAACCGGCAAUUGUCAUGGAAUUUCAUCAGGGCAGGGGAAUCGGGGAAUUUUAUCAAAAAGGCAGGAAAAUUUGAAAAUCAAAAUCAGAAAAACAUCAGCACUAUCCACAAAAUCAAACUGAGUCUUAAUUUAGGUCAGGGUUCAGUGCUCUGAACUACUCUCAAUAAUGAAUAAAGAAUUGAAAUUUUAUUUAAUUGAAUGACUAAUACCUGAAGAAAAGAAAUCACACAUGUCUCUGUUGUCUGUAGUAGAAUUAAAUUUCUGGAUGUCUCGAGAAGUUCUCUCCAUCCAGCUUUUUGUCGGCGCUUUUUUCUCAUUCUAUAGCUUUCUUUUUAUCUCUGUUUCAGUUUUGCAAAAAAAUAAUGUGGAAUUCUUAACUAUGAGAGUUUACAUUGGGUUUUGGCUUGGCGUAUAGCUUUGCUGGUGGCAGCUGUUGAGGGCAGUGUUUUUUGUCAAAGUCUUCACACGCUUUUCUGAAGAAAUUUUCUCUUCUCUCAUCUCAUUACUGUAUAUUCACGAAAGUUUUUUAAAAAUACUAGCAGUAAGUUUCCUCUUUGUCAAUAAUUCAACAUUUCAUACAAUUACCAACAGAAAGAUAUCUCUGAACAAGGUAAUAUCGCAUGAAAAUUUUAUGAAAAGCAGCAAACUGCGUGUUAAAUUGAGGCAAUGCUCGAUUUUUAUGUAUUCAACCAAAAAAGAAUGAGCCAAAAAAACAAGAGUAAUAUGAAGAUACGUCUCUCAUUUGAUGACCAAUGAUCAAUCAUUAUUCUGUGAAUUUUUUUUAUGACUUAUGAGAAAUACCUCCUUCCAAGGUAGAAUGUCCCUUAUUUGUAAGUAAAAGCAACGAUACAUGAGAGUAAAAGGCUGUUCCUCCUCCUAGUACACUUCUCUAAGCUGCAGAGAGAAUUCCAUAUAACUCACAGAAUCUCUAAGAUUACUGGAUCCAUUAUUUUAUUGGCUCUUGUGUAUCUCUUUGGAAGUUCUUAAGCAGUUUUUUACUUGAUUUUCAUGUAGGUAUUUCACUCUGUUUCAGUUGUUUUAUCUUCAACCCCUUUUGAUGACCUUGGAUAGUUACUGUGCCAAAUCCCCCACAGCAUUAUCACCAGGUCCUGCACCAUAUCUUGCUGCACCCUCUAAUAAUUCCUCAUCACAGUAAGUAUAAUUUUGUGUUUCAUUUAUCACUUCCUUUGUCUUAGUCGAUC